rnacentral:sRNA from 1 species
GCGCACUGUGCUGCUCCGCCGCCAAAGCUCGCGCGGGGGAAGCGGGGCUGUAGCUGGGCAGGGAGAGGGCGGACGAAAUCGGCAGCGAUCUCGGCUGCGGCGCUGCCGCAGCUGCCCGACCCGCGGGGCGCGCCCUGACCCUUCCUCUUUGGGCAGGCUCCAGGGCGCGCGCACGGUCGGCGUUCCGGGGCCUCAAACUCCUGGGCCUUGACCGGGCAGGCCGCGUCUCCCCGGGUGUGAGUCCACCGGGACCCGGCCGCCGCCUAAGCGCUGGCGCCACAGAAGCGGCGGCGCCCGAAGACGCGCUCCUGGCUCGGCCCGACAGCCUCGCUUGGCCGCCAGUUCUUCUGCAGCCGAAGGCGGUUGUUCUUUUAAAGAAAUUUUGAAGACGAAGGUUUUUUUCUUUUUUUUAAUGGCUUUACAGAAUCUUAAAUAGAAUACAGUUUGACAUGACGGCAAAAAAUGUUGGUUUGACUUCCACAAAUGCAGAAGUAAGAGGAUUUAUAGAUCAGAAUCUCAGUCCAACAAAAGGUAAGGAUUAUUGAAUAAAAAUUUUCUGAA